rnacentral:misc_RNA from 1 species
ACCACUUGUUGAGGAAAUUACAGAGGUAGCUGGAGGAUUCAGUCUAGCAGAUUUGUUCCCUUCCAUUAAAUUGCUCCAUGUGAUUAGUGGGAUGAGGUCUAGACUUGUGAGGCUGCAGCGAGAAGCAGACAGGAUAAUUGAAAACAUCAUUAAUGAUCACAGAGCUAGGAACAAAACAGCAAAGACCAGCAGCGGGGGUGAAGAAGAUGACCUUGUUGAUGUUCUUUUGAGGCUUCAGGAGCAUGGAAACCUUGAAUUUCCAUUGACAACUGACAACAUCAAAGCAGUCAUCCUGGACAUUUUCAUUGCUGGCAGUGAGACAUCAUCAACAACAGUAGAGUGGGCAAUGUCCGAAAUGCUGAAGAAUCCAAGGGUGAUGGAGAAGGCACAAGACGAGGUGAGGAGAGUAUUUGAUAAAAAAGGAAAUGUGGAUGAAACAGACAUUCAUGACCUGAAAUAUUUGAAGUUAGUUAUCAAAGAAACUUUGCGAUUACACCCUCCUGCUCCAUUGCUACUUCCAAGAGAAGGUAGGGAGAGAUGUGAGAUUUACGGGUACGAGAUACCAGCCAAAUCCAAAGUUAUUGUUAAUGCUUGGGCAAUUAACAGGGAUCCAAAUCACUGGACUGAAGCUGACAAAUUCUAUCCAGAAAGAUUUCUUGAUAGUUCAAUUGAUUACAAGGGGAACAAUUUUGAAUUUAUUCCGUUUGGUGCUGGAAGGAGGAUGUGUCC